rnacentral:rRNA from 1 species
CCUACGGGUGGCAGCAGUGGGGAAUAUUGGGCAAUGGAGGCAACUCUGACCCAGCAACGCCGCGUGAAUGAUGAAGGUCUUCGGAUUGUAAAGUUCUGUCCUUGGGGAAGAAGAACUGACGGUACCCAAGGAGGAAGCCCCGGAUAACUACGUGCCAGCAGCCGCGGUAAUACGUAGGGGGCAAGCGUUAUCCGGAAUUAUUGGGCGUAAAGAGUACGUAGGUGGCAACCUAAGCGCAGGGUUUAAGGCAAUGGCUCAACCAUUGUUCGCCCUGCGAACUGGGAUGCUUGAGUGCAGGAGAGGAAAGCGGAAUUCCUAGUGUAGCGGUGAAAUGCGUAGAUAUUAGGAGGAACACCAGUGGCGAAGGCCGCUUUCUGGACUGUAACUGACACUGAGGUACGAAAGCGUGGGGAGCAAACAGGAUUAGAUACCCCAGUAGUC